rnacentral:rRNA from 1 species
AUUCCAGCUCCAAUAGGAUAUAUCAAAGUUGUUGCAGUUAAAAAGCUCGUAGUUGAAUUUCUGGAAGGUAGAAGUGUUUUUUUCAGAGAAGCAAUUUUUUAUGAAAGACACCGCUUUCCAUUUUGUGGAUUUCUGUUUUGUAUAAAGAUAGUUUACUCUAUUUUUAUAUAAAAUACCACUCCGUCACUGAGAGCAAAUUGGAGUGCUCAAAGCAGGCUUUAUUAGCUUUGAACAUUUUAGCUUGGAAUGACAAGAUAUGACUUUUGUUUUAUUUUGUUGGUUAUGAAAUAAAAGUAAUGAUUAACAGGAACAGUUGCGGGGGUACUCGUAUUGAAAGGUCAGAGGUGAAAUUCUUGGAUUCUUUCAAGACGAACGACUGCGAAAGCAUUUACCAAGGAUGUUUUCAUUAAUCAAGAACGAAAGCUCGGGGAUCGAAGAUGAUUAGAUACCAUCGUAGUCCGACGCCAUAAACGAUGCCGACUCGGGAUUAUUUUGUUUGUUUAAACUAAAAAAGAACACAAAGUAGCACCGUAUGAGAAAUCAAAGUCUUUGGGUUCCGGGGGGAGUAUGGUCGCAAGGCUGAAACUUAAAGGAAUUGACGGAAGGGCACACCAGAGGUGGAGCCUGCGGUUUAAUUUGACCCAACACGGGGAAACUUACCAGGUCCAGACAUGAUGAGGAUUGACAGUUUGAAAGCACUUUCUUGAUUUCAUGGGUGGUGGUGCAUGGCCGUUCUUAGUUGGUGGAGUGAUUUGUCUGGUUGAUUCCGAUAACGAACGAGACGGGGUGAAUUUACUAGUUUGUUAUAUAAUUUACGUUAUAUAAGACUUCUUUAUUCGACAACUUGGUUUUACCAAGAGGAAGCGCCCCGCAAUAACAGGUCUGUGAUGCCCUUAGAUGUUCUGGGCUACACGCGCGCUACAAUGACGAAUUCAACGAGUUUAAAAUUAAUUCCUUAUCCGGAAGGAUGUGGGUAAUCUUUUCAAUAUUCGUCGUGAUGGGGCUAGAUUUUUGCAAUUAUUAAUCUUCAACGAGGAAUCUCUAGUAUGUGCAAGUCAUCAGCUUGCGCAGAAUGCGUCCCUGCCCUUUGUACACACCGCCCGUCGCACCUACCGAUUGGACGAUCCGGCAAGAUGUUUGGAGUUGUUUUGAUUGUAGAGUAAUUUAUGAUGAAAAUGACAAAGCUCUU